GGAGAGGUGACAGAGUGGCUUAUCGUGCUGGUUUCGAAAACCAGUGUGCCCGAAAGGGUACCGCGGGUUCGAAUCCCGCCUUCUCCG
rnacentral:tRNA from 2 species